rnacentral:rRNA from 1 species
AGAGUUUGAUCCUGGCUCAGGAUGAACGCUGGCGGUAUGCUUAACACAUGCAAGUCGAACGAAGUGCUUCGGCACUGAGUGGCGGACGGGUGAGUAACACGUGAGAAUCUGGCUUCAGGAUGGGGACAACAGCGGGAAACUGCUGCUAAUACCCAAUGUGCCGAGAGGUGAAAAGAUUAAUCGCCUGAAGAUGAGCUCGCGACUGAUUAGCUAGUUGGUAGAGUAAGAGCCUACCAAGGCGAUGAUCAGUAGCUGGUCUGAGAGGAUGACCAGCCACACUGGGACUGAGACACGGCCCAGACUCCUACGGGAGGCAGCAGUGGGGAAUUUUCCGCAAUGGGGGCAACCCUGACGGAGCAAUACCGCGUGGGGGAGGAAGGCCCUUGGGUUGUAAACCCCUUUUGUCAGGGAAGAACACAAUGACGUACCUGACGAAUCAG